rnacentral:rRNA from 1 species
AUUGAACGCUGGCGGCAGGCCUAACACAUGCAAGUCGAGCGGAUGAAGGGAGCUUGCUCCUGGAUUCAGCGGCGGACGGGUGAGUAAUGCCUAGGAAUCUGCCUGGUAGUGGGGGAUAACGUCCGGAAACGGGCGCUAAUACCGCAUACGUCCUGAGGGUGAAAGUGGGGGAUCUUCGGACCUCACGCUAUCAGAUGAGCCUAGGUCGGAUUAGCUAGUUGGUGGGGUAAAGGCCUACCAAGGCGACGAUCCGUAACUGGUCUGAGAGGAUGAUCAGUCACACUGGAACUGAGAAACGGUCCAGACUCCUACGGGAGGCAGCAGUGGGGAAUAUUGGACAAAGGGCGAAAGCCUGAUCCAGCCAUGCCGCGUGUGUGAAGAAGGUCUUCGGAUUGUAAAGCACUUUAAGUUGGGAGGAAGGGCAGUAAGUUAAUACCUUGCUGUUUUGACGUUACCAACAGAAUAAGCACCGGCUAACUUCGUG